UACGAAGGGGGCAAGCGUUGUUCGGAAUUACUGGGCGUAAAGGGCGCGUAGGCGGCCGAUCAAGUCAGGCGUGAAAUUCCCGGGCUCAACCUGGGGGCUGCGCUUGAUACUGAUUGGCUUGAAUGCGGGAGAGGGUAGUGGAAUUCCCAGUGUAGAGGUGAAAUUCGUAGAUAUUCGGAAGAACACCAGUGGCGAAGGCGGCUCACUGGCCCGGUACUGACGCUGAGGUGCGAAAGCGUGGGGAGCAAACAGG
rnacentral:rRNA from 1 species